rnacentral:rRNA from 1 species
GAUGAACGCUGGCGGCGUGCCUAAUACAUGCAAGUCGAGCGAACAGACGAGGAGCUUGCUCCUUUGACGUUAGCGGCGGACGGGUGAGUAACACGUGGGUAACCUACCUAUAAGACUGGGAUAACUUCGGGAAACCGGAGCUAAUACUGGAUAAUAUUUCGAACCGCAUGGUUCGAUAGUGAAAGAUGGCUCUGCUAUCACUUAUAGAUGGACCUGCGCCGUAUUAGCUAGUUGGUAAGGUAACGGCUUACCAAGGCAACGAUACGUAGCCGACCUGAGAGGGUGAUCGGCCACACUGGAACUGAGACACGGUCCAGACUCCUACGGGAGGCAGCAGUAGGGAAUCUUCCGCAAUGGGCGAAAGCCUGACGGAGCAACGCCGCGUGAGUGAUGAAGGUCUUCGGAUCGUAAA